GACGAACGCUGGCGGCGUGCUUAACACAUGCAAGUCGAACGGAAAGGCCUGCUUUCCCUUGUGGAUUGCGGGUACUCGAGUGGCGAACGGGUGAGUAACACGUGAGUGAUCUGCCCCCAACUUGGGUAUAAGCCUGGGAAACUGGGUCUAAUUCCCGAUAGGACUGCAGGGUGGUGCCUGUGGUGGAAAACGAUUUUCUAGUGGUUGGGGAUGAGCUCGCGGCCUAUCAGCUUGUUGGUGGGGUAAUGGCCUACCAAGGCGGCGACGGGUAGCCGGCCUGAGAGGGUGGACGGCGACAUUGGGACUGAGAUACGGCCCAGACUCCUACGGGAGGCAGCAGUGGGGAAUAUUGCACAAUGGGCGGAAGCCUGAUGCAGCGACGCAGCGUGGGGGAUGACGGCCUUCGGGUUGUAAACUCCUUUCGACCGCGAGGAAGCCACCUGGUUGGAAGGGUGGUGACGGUAGUGGUAGAAGAAGCACCGGCUAACUACGUG
rnacentral:rRNA from 1 species